rnacentral:rRNA from 1 species
UGAUCCUGGCUCAGAUUGAACGCUGGCGGCAUGCUUUACACAUGCAAGUCGAACGGUAACAGGGAGCUUGCUCCGCUGACGAGUGGCGAACGGGUGAGUAAUAUAUCGGAACGUACCCAAGAGUGGGGGAUAACGUAGCGAAAGUUACGCUAAUACCGCAUACGAUCUAAGGAUGAAAGCAGGGGAUCUUCGGACCUUGUGCUCCUGGAGCGGCCGAUAUCUGAUUAGCUAGUUGGUGAGGUAAAGGCUCACCAAGGCGACGAUCAGUAGCUGGUCUGAGAGGACGACCAGCCACACUGGAACUGAGACACGGUCCAGACUCCUACGGGAGGCAGCAGUGGGGAAUUUUGGACAAUGGGCGCAAGCCUGAUCCAGCAAUGCCGCGUGAGUGAAGAAGGCCUUCGGGUUGUAAAGCUCUUUUGUCAGGGAAGAAACGGGAGUGGCUAAUAUCCAUUUNUAAUGACGGUACCUGAAGAAUAA